CCUACGGGAGGCUGCAGUGGGGAAUAUUGCACAAUGGGCGAAAGCCUGAUGCAGCAACGCCGCGUGAACGAUGAAGGUCUUCGGAUCGUAAAGUUCUGUCGCAGGGGAAGAUAAUGACGGUACCCUGUGAGGAAGCACCGGCUAACUACGUGCCAGCAGCCGCGGUAAUACGUAGGGUGCUAGCGUUAUCCGGAUUUACUGGGCGUAAAGGGUGCGUAGGUGGUCUUUCAAGUCGGUGGUUAAAGGCUACGGCUCAACCGUAUUAAGCCGCCGAAACUGGAAGACUUGAGUGCAGGAGAGGAAAGUGGAAUUCUCAGUGUAGCGGUGAAAUGCGUAGAUAUUGAGAAGAACACCAGUAGCGAAGGCGGCUUUCUGGACUGUAACUGACACUGAGGCACGAAAGCGUGGGUAGCAAACAGGAUUAGAUACCCCGGUAGUC
rnacentral:rRNA from 1 species